rnacentral:rRNA from 1 species
GAUGAACGCUAGCGGCAGGCCUAACACAUGCAAGUCGAGGGAGGAGCUUUCGGGCUUCGACCGGCGUACGGGUGCGUAACGCGUAUACAAUCUGCCUUUCACAUAGGGAUAGCCCGAAGAAAUUUGGAUUAAUACCUAAUGGUAUAUAGAGGUGGCAUCACCUUUAUAUUAAAGCUGAGGCGGUGAAAGAUGAGUAUGCGUUCUAUUAGCUAGUUGGAGAGGUAACGGCUCCCCAAGGCGACGAUGGAUAGGGGUUCUGAGAGGGAUAUCCCCCACACUGGUACUGAGAUACGGACCAGACUCCUACGGGAGGCAGCAGUGAGGAAUAUUGGACAAUGGUCGGAAGGCUGAUCCAGCCAUGCCGCGUGCAGGAAGACGGCCUUAUGGGUUGUAAACUGCUUUUGCAGGGGAAGAAUAAGGACUACGCGUAGUUUGAUGACGGUACUCUGCGAAUAAGCAGCGGCUAACUCCGUG